ensembl:lncRNA
AUGAAUUUAUUACAUUUAUAGUUGUACAAUGAUCAUCACAAUCCAAUUUUGUAGGAUUUCCAUCCCACACCCCCAGGGCAUCCCUCCACCCCCCAAACUGUCUCCUUUGGAAACCAUAAGUUUUUCAAAGUCUGUGGAUCAGUAUCUGUUCUGCAAAGAAGUUCAUUCUGUCCUUUUUUUUCAGAUUCCACACGUCAGUGGUAGCAUUUGAUGUUGGUGUCUCAUUGUAUGACUGACUUCACUUAGCAUGAUAAUUUCUAGGUCCAUCCAUGUUGCUAAAAAUGCUGUUAUUUCAUUCCUUUUAAUGGCUGAAUAAUAUCCCAUUGUGUAUAUGUACCACAUCUUCUUGAUCCACUCCUCUGUUGAUGGACAUUUAGGUUGUUUCCAUGUCUUGGCUAUUGCAAAUAGUGCUGCAGUGAACAUCGGAGUACAUGUGUCUUUUCAAGUCGUGGUUUUCUCUGGAUAGAUACCCAGGAGUGGGAUUGCUGGAUCAAAUGGUAAUUGUAUUUUUUGUUUGCUGAGGAAUCUCCAUACUGUUUUCCACAGUGGUUGAGCCAAUUUACAUUUCCACCAACAGUGUAAUAGGGUUCUUUUUUCUCCACACCCUCUCCAGCACUUGUUGUUGUUUGUAGACUUUUUGAUGAUGGCCAUUCUGGCUGGUGUAAGGUGGUACCUCAUCGUGGUUUUGAUCUGCAUUUCCCUAAUGAUGGGUGAUGUUGAACAUCUUUUCAUGUGUUUUUUGGCCAUCUGUAUGUCUUCUUUGGAAAAUAUAACUAUUUGUUCCUUGAUAGGUCAUGGUCUAGUUAGUACAUACACGUUUACUGCUGAGUCAAGCAAUAUACAUCGACUAUCUUUUCUCAGUUAUGUAACUUUGUAUUUUCCUGGCAUUUAUAAUUGCCUCAAAUUUUCAUCUGCUUAGUUUUCCAUUUCACACUCUUCACAGAACUCUAUAAAUCCCUCUAACCCUAUUUUUCUCACAGCCAAAUGAAAUGUUAUAUCUUUAUAAACAGGUUUCUUGGAGAUACUCUAUUCAUAUCUGUAAAGUUCAUCUGUUUUCCUGUUCCAUCUGUUUUAAUUGCUCUCUAGUUCUACUUCCCAUUGUCAUCUAGAGCCUUCCCUUCAAAAACAUUCUUGAAAUUACCUUUACUUCUGCUCUCUGCUGAAUUCCUUCUCUAGGAAUCUUAUUUUUCUAUCUUUUGGCUUACUUCUUUUUGGAGGAACACAUUGUCCAAUAGCUUUCUAAGAACUUACAAAUUUGAAGAAAUAAAGUGUCUUCCUUUUACUGUAUCUCUACACAACCUGUAUAGAAUUCUUGAAUGGAUAUAGAAUUCUUAUCUGGAAAUUAUUAUAAGUCAGAGUAUUGAAAUCAUUGCUCUAUUGUCCCCUAGUUUCAAAUAUCAUUGUUAAGAAAUCUAAUACCAUACUGACUUCCAAUUAUUUGUAAAUUAUCUGAUUUUUUCCCUUUUGAAGCAUUUUACUUUUUUUCUUUAUCCCCCUCGUUUUAAAACUUAAUGGUGAUAUGUCUUAAUUUGUUUAUUUAUUAUUAUUUUUGUUUUGGUCAUUAGGUUAGAAAAAGAGUGUAUUUCAAACAUGGAAAAUUUUCUUGUGUAUCUUCUUUGAUAAUUUUCCUUCCUCUGUAAUUCCUGUUGUAGUUUUUGAAAACUCUUUUUAGUGAAAUAUUGACUUCUUGAAUUGGUCACAUUUAAAAUAUGUAUGUAUAUGUCUGUGUAUCUUUAUCUUUUGGUCCUACUUCCUCUGAGAUGUCUUUGAUUUUGUCUUCCAACGCUUUUGCUUAUUUAGUUCUUUUAAAAGCUUGAUUAUGGUGUUUUAAUUUCAAAGAUCUCUUUGAUACACUCUGAGAGUGUAUUUAUGGUAUCCUGUUUCAUGAACAUUUCAUGAAUUAUAACGCAGAAUUAGCUAUAAUAAAGCUAAUAUUAAUUGAGCUAGGGAGCAUUUUAAGAACUUUAUAAAAUUAGCUCCUUUAAUCCCAGAACCAUGGAUAGAGGCAAGGGAGCGGUUCUCCGAAACAAAAGAAAGGCAUUGAUAAUGAAAAGGAAAUGAACAAAGUGGAAUGCCGAAAAUGACAGAUGCCCACGACAGAAUAAUUCAGAGAAUUAUAUGCCUUCUAGGACCUGAGCACUAUGGUAGGCACAGGGGCUGGGAAUAUGAAGAGGGGAAUAAGGCACCAGCCCUGCUGUGUUCACAUCCUUUAAUAUAGUUGAAAACUAAUGGCAUUUGCCACUUGUCAGCCCCUGAUGAAUUCCUCCCCCAGUGCCUUGAAGCAGCCAGAAGCUCUGCAGGAAAGGCAGCCUGGAGCAAGAGGAGGGAAGGGAGGGGACCCAGGAGUUGCUCCUUCUUUGUGAAAAACUCUGAUGGGAAAAUUGUCAGCUGUACUCCCACUCUCUCUGAAAGUCAGUGUGAUGCUGCAUCCAUCUUAAUCACCAUCGGAGAGAGCAGGCAUUUUAAUAAGCAGCAUUAUUCAUGAAAACUUUGUUCUCCUUUCCCACUUCCUUCCAAAAUAAGAUAGACAUGAACUUGGAAUGAACUCCUCAUUUGUCUCCUUCUUCUUGCCUCUUCUUUAUAUUCAUACCUACUACCUUCUUCCCGUGGUCCCAAUCCUCUGGACAUCUUCUAGGGAAGAGGCGAAGAGCAGCUGUCCACCUGGGGGGAGGGAGAGUAUGGCUGGAAGUAUCUGGGUCCCUAGAGGGUGGAGAUCACUGGGACUUGAGAGACAAAGGAGAUGGUAUCCUUGCUGUGGUGGAAUUUAGAGAUUAUUCGCUGAACCAAUGGCUUAUUUAACAAGUAUUAAUUGGUCACUUAAUGCGUAUUUUACUGAGAGUACAGUAACUCAGAUAUCAUUUCUAUACCCAGAGGAACCAUUAAUUCAUUCAACAAAUAUUUCUGAUCUGUUGGACAGACCCCGGGCAAGAUCACUG